UACGUAGGGUGCGAGCGUUAAUCGGAAUUACUGGGCGUAAAGCGUGCGCAGGCGGUUUUGUAAGCCCGGUGUGAAAUCCCCGGGCUCAACCUGGGAAUGGCAUUUGGGACUGCAAGGCUGGAGUGCGGCAGAGGAGACUGGAAUUCCUGGUGUAGCAGUGAAAUGCGUAGAUAUCAGGAGGAAUACCGAUGGCGAAGGCAGGUCUCUGGGCUGACACUGACGCUCAUGCACGAAAGCGUGGGGAGCAAACGGG
rnacentral:rRNA from 1 species